ensembl:lncRNA
GUUUAUUUAAAAAGGUAUUAUAUAUUGCGAUUUGAAUACAUUUCACUGUUGAAAUUUCAUAUAGCAAGUUUUUCAUAAUAUAUAAUUUGUACAAUAAUUUAUCAUUUAUAUUUAUACAAUUUAUACUUAGGAAGAAAGUACUUCAAAAGCUUAUUUUUGUAAUCACGGGCUAUCUAAAUGGUACUUUGUUUGGAGCCCUUAAUUAUAGGGAGACACUGUGUUGUAGGGUUCUACAUGGAACCUUCACAGAUUCCACCAGAACCAAAGCACUUUUACAGGUUUUAGAUCUGAAUCUUUUCAGAUGUUGAUUAGACCAUUUUCAUGAAUAAUGCACAUAAAAAUUCAUCCUUAGUUCGUUUAUUUAUAAUAGGUUACAUAUUUUAAAAUUUUACAAGCUUAUCGUAGUCUAAUGAUUUUCGAACGUUAUAAAUAUAGAAAACCUAAAAAAAACAAAAACAAAAACAAAAAAACAUUGAAGGUGUAAAUGAGGACUUAAAAUGUUUGAUUUGAACAGAUUAUAAGUAAAGUUGAAUAAUAUUACAAGCGUAAAUUCACGUGUAAAAGCCUCAUCAGCGCCGAGAUUUCAAUGCAAUUAGCGCAAUCUGGUGGAAACUCUCCCUAUCUGGCAACCCAGAUACUAAGAGACUGGAGCUAUGCGCUUGAACUUGACCGAGUGGAACUUCAGGGGUAAAGCGAUGGUAUUUACCCCCCACCUCACCCCACCCCCGUCUUCUCUUUUAUUCGGGAUAAGUCUUUAAGACUUGAUGUGAGUGCUCAUUUCCAUAACAUGUUGCCUAGCGCCAAUUAAAGCUCAGUGCACGACUUUUCUCCUGGAGCGACAGCUUGGUGAUGCUGAAAGCGCACUGAGGGCCCGUUGCAGACUGUAAUUUCCUUCAUUUCAGUUCUCCAACUGUCAAAAAUGCACAAUCUGAAAUACUGAAAAUAUGAGAUAAUAUAAUUAAUCUGAAUAAGUCCUAUCAAAUGUAUUUUUUUAUAAGUAAGAAGCAAAUUGAGGAAAAAAAUAGGAUGAUGGGUGUAGUUUUUCAGUAAUUCCAAAAAAAAAAAAAAUCUUGUGUUUUCAUUUGCCUUGUAACACGAGACAGAGGAAGUAACAUGUACAUGGAUGCCCAACUCUUAAUGUUUAUUGAACAUAUUACCUUGAAUGCAUGCUGAUGUUCAACAGCAGAAUGCUCAGACUGCCUUGAAGAGAGGCUCAUUUUUAAAAACAUUUUUCAAAGCAACAGUACCAAAGAGUGUAAGAAAGAUUAAAAUAGUCACUAUGAUACUGUAUACUCUUAAAAAAUGCAAUUGCUACAAACAACAAACGACUCGAUAUCUGUCUCAGUAACUCUUAUAAAUAUUAAUGGGAUUUAAAACUCUGCUACAUCCUUGGGAUCACUCAGAGGGUUUACCCAGCGUUUUAAGUAACACCUGUUGCAUAGUGCUUGCUGCUUUACACUGUGAAUUCACGCUUGAUGCUAAUUCUGGUCAUAUUUGCUGGUCUGGUGAUAGGCCUAUCUGAAAGGUAAAACUGAAAAUAUGUUGGCUAUGCUCUUUUGAUGAUUGAUUUCAUGACCUAGAGCAAGCAGCAGCCAGUCAGAAAUGUAGGAGGUCACGUUCAUUUGUAUUAGAAUGCUAUUAUUAUCACUGAAUUUGAUUAUAGAGAAAGUCAAGUGCUUUUGUAUCCACUUGAAACUUCUUAUAAAUAACUGAUGUGUUAUUGGUGAAUAAUUAGAUUAUGUACUACCUAAACUACAAAAACAGAAAAUUAUGCAGAGUUAUAUUAAAACUUAAAGUGUAGGCUAUAUCUAAGUCGUCCGUAGUACACUGUUGCAGAGAUUCUUGAAAUAUGAAUAGUUAAAAAAAAUCAUUUCAAUAAAGUUAUAACAUACUGUUGAAAAUAGAGAUGAAUUAACUCUUACUGUAUUCAGUUGUCCCCAGUUGGACUGUAAGCUUUAAUACAACACUGUGUGUUUUUCUGUAUACACUAAAUUAGCUGUAUUACUAACCUUUAGAAGAAACAUGCAGCGUUAUAUUACAUGGAUAUAGUGUAGUAUAUGUAGUAACAGUGCAGUCUUUCUGUGCGGCUUCAAAUUUGGACGCCUUUCGUUUAUCAGGUGUAUACAGGAAGACAAAUGGAUACCACUGCUGCCCUAAAGAGAAAUGAUAUUAGCGCAAAUGGUUAAAAUCAGUUGGUCAAGUGAUGGGAUAUAUUUGUACUGUUUGGGUGCAUUACAACGAAUUCAUUUGAAAUGUGGUUGAUAUAAAUGUGCAAGACCAGGUUUCUGACCAACUGACCAUAAGAUAGUAAUAUAAGAAACAAGAGCUCCCAACGCGUUACAGCAUGGCAUGACAUGUGGAUAAUACUUUUAAUGUUUGGAAGUCUUAGCAGCUCAUCAUUUGUGACACUAUGUAAGUAACGACAAGCCAUAUUUCUUGCAUAUGCUUCCAAUAAAGCACGUGUCAUUAUUUCACUAUAGCAAUAUUCACUACAUUAUACAGUCCAUAAUCAACGGAAAUAACGGCUCUGUUAUAGGAUUAUUAUAGCGUAUUGCUGUAAUAAUAGCUAUUAUGCCUAUUAUGGCAAUGGCAUGUGAACAGUUAUUAGUGUUACAAAUACUGCGUGUGUUUACCUCAAAAUUGUUACAAUACAUUACCUGACAUUGCAACUAGCAUAUAUUAUAAAGAACUAUCUUUUAACCUGUUUUCUUAUUGGCAAAUUGAAAGUGUCAGAGAUUCCACGAGAUUUUUUUUUAGAGCAUUUGCAGUUUUGCACGUCUCUCCUUGACCCUCUUUUACGCUUACAUAUCAACUUCAAAUCUUUUAAUCUUUUGAAACGUAUUUUUCAUCGUGUGCGCUAUUUUCAUUCAUUUCCUUUUUAAAUUUAGGCUAUUAGUUUCAUUUCCAUAUUUCCCAAAUAAGCAAUAUCAGAUUUAUUUGUGUAUUUAUUUAUUUGACACCAGAGGUGCGAAAUGUCCAAGAAUACAGUUAUUCGUUUCAUUUUCAUGUUUAUGUGAAACAUUCAUUUAAAUACUCAGGCCAACUUCUCAUCUCCUUUAUUUAUUUAAUUUUUUAACAAUUGGUCCACAUCUAAAUGUCUGCACAAGUACCCCCAAAACUGAAGAAGGAGGUAAAUGGGAAGAUUCCUGCAGACGUAGUUCACGUGGUUGCCAGAUAGGUCUUUUAUCUUCUGGUUCAGAAGAUAUAG